rnacentral:rRNA from 1 species
UGGGGAAUAUUGGACAAUGGGCGAAAGCCUGAUCCAGCCAUGCCGCGUGUGUGAAGAAGGUCUUCGGAUUGUAAAGCACUUUAAGUUGGGAGGAAGGGCAGUAAGCGAAUACCUUGCUGUUUUGACGUUACCGACAGAAUAAGCACCGGCUAACUCUGUGCCAGCAGCCGCGGUAAUACAGAGGGUGCAAGCGUUAAGCGGAAUUACUGGGCGUAAAGCGCGCGUAGGUGGUUCGUUAAGUUGAAAGUGAAAGCCCCGGGCUCAACCUGGGAACUGCAUCCAAAACUGGCGAGCUAGAGUAGGGCAGAGGGUGGUGGAAUUUCCUGUGUAGCGGUGAAAUGCGUAGAUAUAGGAAGGAACACCAGUGGCGAAGGCGACCACCUGGGCUCAUACUGACACUGAGGUGCGAAAGCGGGGGGAGCAAACAGG